UGCGUAGGCGGUUUGAUAAGUUAGAGGUGAAAUCCCGGGGCUCAACCCCGGAACUGCCUUUGAUACUGGAAGUCUUGAGUAUGGUAGAGGUGAGUGGAAUUCCGAGUGUAGAGGUGAAAUUCGUAGAUAUUCGGAGGAACACCAGUGGCGAAGGCGGCUCACUGGACCAUUACUGACGCUGAGGUGCGAAAGCGUGGGGAGCAAACAGGAUUAGAUACCCUUGUA
rnacentral:rRNA from 1 species